rnacentral:rRNA from 1 species
ACUCAAAGGAAUUGACGGGGGCCCGCACAAGCGGUGGAGCAUGUGGAUUAAUACGUCACUAACCGUAGAACCUUACCCAGGCUUGACAUCCUCGGAAAGCGGGUGAAAGCUCGCCGUGCCCCGCAAGGGGAGCCGGGAGACAGGUGUUGCAUGGCUGUCGUCAGCUCGUGUCGUGAGAUGUUGGGUUAAGUCCCGCAACGAGCGCAACCCUCACCGGAUGUUGCCAGCACGAAAGGUGGGCACUCUUCCGGAACUGCCCGUGCAAGCGGGAGGAAGGUGGGGACGACGUCAAGUCAGCAUGGCCCUUACGCCUGGGGCUUCACACAUGCUACAAUGGCCGGUACAAAGGGUCCCGAUACCGCGAGGUGGAGGCAAUCCCAAAAAACCGGUCUCAGUUCGGAUCGCAGGCUGCAACUCGCCUGCGUGAAGUUGGAAUCGCUAGUAACCGCCGAUCAGCUAAGCGGCGGUGAAUACGUUCCCGGGCCUUGUACACACCGCCCGU